rnacentral:rRNA from 1 species
AUUGAACGCUGGCGGCAGGCCUAACACAUGCAAGUCGAGCGAGCGGCGGACGGGUGAGUAAUGUCUGGGAAACUGCCUGAUGGAGGGGGAUAACUACUGGAAACGGUAGCUAAUACCGCAUACCAUCAGAUGUGCCCAGAUGGGAUUGGCUAGUAGGUGGGGUAAUGGCUCACCUAGGCGACGAUCCCUCGCUGGGCUGAGAGGAUGACCAGCCACACUGGAACUGAGACACGGUCCAGACUCCUACGGUAGGCAGCAGUGGGGAAUAUUGCACAAUGGGCGCAAGCCUGAUGGAGCCAUGCCGCGUGUAUGAAGAAGGCCUUCGGGUUGUAAAGUACUGUCAGCGAGGAGGCGUUACUCGCAGAAGAAGCACCGGCUAACUCCGUGCCAGCAGCCGCGGUAAUUC